GAUUGAAGAGAAGACAACCCGAAAGAAUCAGAACACAUGUGAAAAAAAGCUCCAUAUGGAAGGUGAAUGAGAAGACAACGCAGCUAAAAUUGAGCAGGGGUUGAAAUUGUGCUUGAAGAUCUAGGGCCAUAGCACCAUAUCUGCAAUUUCAAAGUCGCGGUCGAUCUCAAGCUUUUCCUUUGUUUGCUUAAAUUAUUAUAAACAUGUUGAGUGAACCACUCAUGGGGACCUAAUUAGACGUGAUGAAUAACUUACUACGCAAAUGGCUUGUGCCGAUGACAUGCAUGGAACUAUGUAUGAUGUUGCCUAGAGUUAAAAGGCGACAUAGGAGGAACCUACACACCAGCAAUGUAAU
rnacentral:lncRNA from 1 species